rnacentral:rRNA from 1 species
CGCCUCUUGAAUAAAUAUAAGAGGUCCAGCCUGCCCAGUGACUCUGUUCAACGGCCGCGGUAUCCUAACCGUGCGAAGGUAGCGUAAUCACUUGUUCUUUAAAUGAGGACUAGUAUGAAUGGCACCACGAAGGUUAUACUGUCUCCUCUCCCUAAUCAGUGAAACUAAUCUCCCCGUGAAGAAGCGGGAAUAAACAUAUAAGACGAGAAGACCCUAUGGAGCUUUAAACUAUGUAACACUUGCACCACCACAACACAAAUUUCAGAAAAAUCUCUCCAACGCAUGCAAGCUUAUUACCAGUUUUAGGUUGGGGUGACCGCGGAGCAAAAAACAACCUCCACAUUGAAAGGAACUUACUCCUUAGCCAAGAGCCACACCUCCACGCACCAUUAUAAUGACAUUAAUUGACCCAAUAUUUUGAUCAACGAACCAAGUUACCCUAGGGAUAACAGCGCAAUCCAUUUCAAGAGCUCCUAUCGACAAAUGGGUUUACGACCUCGAUGUUGGAUCAGGGUAUCCCGGUGGUGCAGCCGCUACCAAAGGUUCGUUUGUUCAACGAUUAAAACCCU